CCUACGGGAGGCAGCAGUGAGGAAUAUUGGUCAAUGGACGAGAGUCUGAACCAGCCAAGUAGCGUGAAGGAUGACUGCCCUAUGGGUUGUAAACUUCUUUUAUAUGGGAAUAAAAUGUUCCACGUGUGGGAUUUUGUAUGUACCAUAUGAAUAAGGAUCGGCUAACUCCGUGCCAGCAGCCGCGGUAAUACGGAGGAUCCGAGCGUUAUCCGGAUUUAUUGGGUUUAAAGGGAGCGUAGGUGGAAUGUUAAGUCAGUUGUGAAAGUUUGCGGCUCAACCGUAAAAUUGCAGUUGAAACUGGCAGUCUUGAGUACAGUAGAGGUGGGCGGAAUUCGUGGUGUAGCGGUGAAAUGCGUAGAUAUCACGAAGAACUCCGAUUGCGAAGGCAGUUCACUGGACUGCAAAUGACACUGAGGCUCGAAAGUGUGGGUAUCAAACAGGAUUAGAUACCCUAGUAGUC
rnacentral:rRNA from 1 species